rnacentral:lncRNA from 10 species
UUAUCUUUUUCAUUCAUUGUUUUAUCUUCAGUGCCUAGAAGAGUGCUGGAUACAUUGUAGGUGCUCAAUAACUAUUUCUUGAAGAUUGAAUGUUUAUUUAAAUAAAGGGAUGAAGUCAAUCAACUUCCAAGAGGAACUAGGACCCCAACCAACUACUAUGCGUUGCUCUCAGAUGGUGUGUAAGGCCACCCUUGCUGAUGAGGCUGCACGCGUAAUGAGCUGAGCUGCUGCCUUCAGAAGAAGCCAGAGAAAAGAACCCCAAGACAUGAGACUAUCCAGGCUACAGCAACUCCAGCAGUCUCCUUACCUGGCAGAAAGGAGCACACUCUGCUACAAUGACAUGGAAUUUCCUCUUUCGGGCAGCCUCUUUGAGGAAGGCCUCUACUGUUCGGGAGAAGCCAAUGGUCAUGAUCACCUCAUUGGAGUGAAUGUGCUCCAGAGCCUGGGCUGCAAUGUUCUCCAUUGUCCCUUCUGUAAGAACGGUUUUGC